rnacentral:rRNA from 1 species
AAUGAACGUUGGCGGCAUGGAUUAGGCAUGCAAGUCGAGCGCGAAACGUAGCAAUACGUGGAGAGCGGCGAAAGGGAGAGGAAUAUGUGGGAACCUACCUUCGGGCCUGGAAUAGCGGCGGGAAACUGCCGGUAAUGCCAGAUAACGUCCCCGGACCAAAGGUGUGAUUCCGCCUGGAGAUGGGCCCACAUCCUAUCAGCUUGUUGGUGUGGUAACGGCGCACCAAGGCUAAGACGGGUAUGGGGUGUGAGAGCAUGCCCCCACUCACUGGGACUGAGACACUGCCCAGACAACUACGGGUGGCUGCAGUCGAGAAUCUUCGGCAAUGAGCGCAAGCUUGACCGAGCGAUGCCGCGUGCGGGAUGAAGGCCCUCGGGUUGUAAACCGCUGUCGUAGGGGAAUAACGGUCGGUGGGUUCGCCCAUCGAUUUGAAUGAUCCUAGGAGGAAGGACGGGCUAAGUUCGUG